GACAGAGGGUGCAAACGUUGUUCGGAAUUACUGGGCGUAAAGGGCGCGUAGGCGGCCUUCUAAGUCAUGCGUGAAAUCCCCGGGCUCAACCCGGGGACUGCGUCUGAUACUGGAAGGCUUGAAUCCGGGAGAGGGAUGUGGAAUUCCAGGUGUAGCGGUGAAAUGCGUAGAUAUCUGGAGGAACACCGGUGGCGAAGGCGGCAUCCUGGACCGGCAUUGACGCUGAGGCGCGAGAGCAAGGGGAGCAAACAGG
rnacentral:rRNA from 1 species